ensembl:misc_RNA Y_RNA Y RNA
GGCUGGUCCAAAGGUAGUGAGUUAUCUCAAUUGAUUGUGGACAGUCAGUUACAGAUCAAACUUCUCAUUCUACUCUUUCCCCCUUCUCACUACUGUACUUGACUAGUCAAAA